UCUGACAUCCUCCUCCGCCUACCACCGGACGAGCCCGAGCACCUCUUCUGCGCCACCCUCGUCUGUAAGCGGUGGCUCCGCAUCAUCUGCGACCCCGGCUUCCUCCGCAGCUACCGCGCCUUCCACGGCGCUCCUCCACUCCUCGGCUUCCUCCACAGGCUCAUGCUCUCCCAAUUGGGCCCGCCCGCCCCUCGCUUCGCCUCUGCCACAUCCAUGCUCGACUUCCCCUACCCGGGCUCCGACGACCGCCUUGUAACUCCCCUCGAUUGCCGCCACGGCCGCGUCAUCUCCUACCUGAGGCGGGACAAUGGGUUGUAUUACCAUGUCUGGUAUCCCAUCACAGGAGACUGCCACGCCGUGCCCACAACAGGCAUCGACAUGCUUAUCCAGUCCGUGCCUGUGCUCUGCGCUGUCGACGGGUGCGACCAUCUCCACUGCCAUGGAGGCCCCUUCUGCCUGCUCUUCGUGGCCACCCAUGGGUACCAGUACAAAAUAGUUGUGAGUGUCUACUCAUCGAAGACGGGUCAGUGGAACGAGCAGUGUCUUCACAAAAGUUGUGAAGUCUAUUCCCGGCAUGUGAAGGAGGGCUUGCAGAUCCACACCGCUUACAUACCAUAUAUCCAGCCUAGGCGAGGCACCCUUGUUGGAGACGUAGUCUACUUCACAGUUCGGCUGGGCAAUGCUAUUGUUGAGUAUGAGUUGGCCAAGGAUCGCUUAUCCAUGAUUGACCCACCACAGGUGGCACAAGACGUGUGCUACAUUUCCCUCAUGGCCAUGAAGGACAGUUCAUUGGGCUUUGUGUGCAUUAAGGGAUCGAGCCUUUAUACAUGGUCAAGGAAGAUGGAUACAGCUGAAGCAGCGGAAUGGGUACAAUACAGGGUCAUCGAGCUGGAGAAAACUACACUUGUUGCCAAUCCCGAUGACAAACGAUUUGUGGUUGGCUUUCCGGAGGGUGUGGGUGUCGUCUUUGUUAUCUCAGGUGUUGGCUUAUUCAUGAUCAAGCUCAAUUCUGGGAAGGUUAAGAAGGUUGACGAGUCUGGAAUCUCCUUUAGCGUCCUACCCUACAUGAGCUUCUACACUCCAGAUCGUGGAAGAUUGUUGUCUCUAGCGAGGACUCAGUGGUGUGCCGCUCAAUAG
rnacentral:rRNA from 1 species